rnacentral:rRNA from 1 species
UUCCCCUUCGGGGGACAAAGUGACAGGUGGUGCAUGGUUGUCGUCAGCUCGUGUCGUGAGAUGUUGGGUUAAGUCCCGCAACGAGCGCAACCCUUAAGCUUAGUUGCCAUCAUUAAGUUGGGCACUCUAAGUUGACUGCCGGUGACAAACCGGAGGAAGGUGGGGAUGACGUCAAAUCAUCAUGCCCCUUAUGAUUUGGGCUACACACGUGCUACAAUGGACAAUACAAAGGGCAGCGAAACCGUGAGGUCAAGCAAAUCCCAUAAAGUUGUUCUCAGUUCGGAUUGUAGUCUGCAACUCGACUACAUGAAGCUGGAAUCGCUAGUAAUCGUAGAUCAGCAUGCUACGGUGAAUACGUUCCCAGGUCUUGUACACACCGCCCGUCACACCACGAGAGUUUGUAACACCCGAAGCCGGUGGAGUAACCUUUUAGGAGCUAGCCGUCGAAGGUGGGACAAAUGAUUGGGGUGAAGUCGUAACAAGGUAGCCGUAUCGGAAGGUGCGGCUGGAUCACCUCCUUU